GUCGAAAGACGGACUUAGUGAUCCGGUGGUUCCGCAUGGAAGGGCCAUCGCUCAACGGAUAAAAGCUACCCCGGGGAUAACAGGCUUAUCUCCCCCAAGAGUUCACAUCGACGGGGAGGUUUGGCACCUCGAUGUCGGCUCAUCGCAUCCUGGGGCUGUAGUCGGUCCCAAGGGUUGGGCUGUUCGCCCAUUAAAGCGGUACGCGAGCUGGGUUCAGAACGUCGUGAGACAGUUCGGUCCCUAUCCGUCGUGGGCGUAGGAAAUUUGAGAGGAGCUGUCCUUAGUACGAGAGGACCGGGAUGGACAUACCUCUGGUGUACCAGUUGUCGUGCCAACGGCAUAGCUGGGUAGCUAUGUAUGGACGGGAUAAGUGCUGAAAGCAUCUAAGCAUGAAGCCCCCCUCAAGAUGAGAUUUCCCAACUUCGGUUAUAAGAUUCCUCGAAGAUGACGAGGUUAAUAGGUUCGAGGUGGAAGCGUGGUGACACGUGGAGCUGACGAAUACUAAUCGAUCGAAGACUUAAUCAA
rnacentral:rRNA from 1 species